rnacentral:lncRNA from 1 species
CAAGUAAAUUACAGAUUGAACUUCUGAAUUGUUUGCAGCCAUUUUUUAUUCCAAACAUGUAUGUUUUUGUAAACCUGACAUUUCCCAAACAGUGCAAGUGAAUCAGAAGUGACUGCUUAGACUUUAAUACACGUGACAUUGUGAGGCAGCACAACCUCCCCCCACCCACCAAAAUUCCUCAGUGGAAAUGUACAUGGAUGCAUCAGUAAAGUUCUGGAAAUGCAGAUAGCGUGGGUGCCUGCCAAGCAAUUAAUCACUCGUAAAGCUUUUAAACUCACUCUGCCAGUCACACCGUGCACAUUAGAAUUAAAACAACAACAUCAACAAAGAAAAAACCUUAACACAGUCUGAAAUCUAGAUCAUUGUGCUAUAAAGCAUUGCACGAUGUUGGGAAAUUUGUUCACUUAUUCCCCCCAUGUGCUGAAAAUUCAGAAGACAUCCUAGAAGUUUCAUUUUGGCCCUACUGGCUCUGUAUUCUCCCUUCAGCCACUCUUUGAAUAUUCUCCACUGUGUAUAUUAUUAUUCUAUAUAUCAAAAUAUCAGCUAAAAGUGUGCAUACUAAAGCAUUUCUGAAAUGAUGCUCACUUUCUGCCUUUUGUCUACUAAAGGCUCCAAGUGACAAUCCUUUCCAGCACCUCUAAAUUUUGAGAAGUUUGAGCCAAGUAUACAGUUCACCAGAUGUACGUUUCACACGUAACCCAGACAUAACUGCAUGCACCUGGCCAUAAUGCCUUACCCAAAAAUAAAAGUCAUAAAUAACCUUUUAAAAAGCCACCAUGCUAGGGUUCAACAGGUAGCAUACAGCACACGGAUCGUCUGGGGAUCUGCUAUGCUUCCGCAUGGAAAACAGGAUGUUCCCAGGAGUGCUGUUGGGUUUUUGUUUUAAACCUCAUUGCCUUUGGCUCAAGGGCAGUAGCUACAUGAUUUGGUGAAGGAGGACUUCCUAGUGGAUCUUCUACAAGGUCUACCAUACCUCUGAGUACCCAUGAUGCUGACAGUUUUCCUAAAGAACUGCCUGAGGAAACCUCAGUGCUGAGUUAUUCGGAAUGGAUGCCUGUCAGUUGCCACUAAGCCAGUGGACCCUGCCCCUCCUGCUAGUGUCCCCUUGUUUCUAAACAUCAUGGCCUCUUCUUUGUGACAGCUCUAUGGCCCACUUGGAGGAUGUUCCAAACUCUCCUGAGUCCUAUGUAAAUUAAGCAUAAGCAAAACUUUUUUUAAAAAAGGGGCACUGUUUUACUCCAUUUUUACAAAGGUCCUUUUUCAUAUUUAAAAACCAUUUCAGUUCUCUGAACAGUUGGUUAAAACCACAUUGAAGAUUCAACUAAAAGCUGAAGGAAACUGAAAUAAUACUGCUCAGGAGAAUAUCUUAUAGGAUUCCACAGUGAAACCAUGGAAGCAGGAAGGGGAGAAAGUAGAACAUACUGUAGAAUUUUCAAAUAAUAUUCUGGAAGGGUAACACAGAUGUACUGAUCCACCCCAUCUGCUUCCCCUGAGAGCAUAGAGAGGGCUUCUGAGCUGGGAAGGAGCUUGUGAACUGCCCAAGUUGAGAGAGCGCUAACGAUAUGCUUGACUUCUCUAUCACUGCACAAAAUGCUUAACUCCCCAGUCCCCGUAGCCCACCUGCUACUCAGCACGAUCAGACCAGCAGAGGCAUCAUCCUUCCCCAGACAGGUUCCUGGGGAGGCUUUCAGUAUCUGCUGGUGGUGAUGCCAAGGCUGGUUUUCUUAAAACCUGCCUUUAUAAAGUCUUAGUGACCUCCUGGGUAUACAGCUGCUCAUGUGGGUCCACCCACGCAGAAUCAAGCAGAAGCAAAUAGGUCCCAGCUCUGAGACUGCCCACAGGAGUCUACCCUUCUCCAGUGGGGCUUUGCUGGUGGGCAGAACAUGGGCCUGCGAAUCACCCUUCUACACUGUCACCAACGCACCUACACCCCGGCAGGAGGCAAGUUAGUUGCUCUAAGUGCAUGUGGCCAAAGCUGUUGAUGGUGCUGUUCCAGAAAUAUCACCUAAGAAUCCUAAAUGAUUCAUUAAAGAAAACAUGGCAUUAUGAACAAGAGUCCAUCAAAGGAAAGCUGCAAAUGGCAUCCCAUUCAAAAAGUCCACAUGCCACUGCAUUUUGCCACCCUGAGGCAAAAUGUCCCUGAAGUGUUCUCUGGGGAACCUCCAGCACCUUGCACAGUGCCUGACACACAGCAGGGGCCUCAUAAAUGGCUGUUAAUAAGUGAUAAAACCCACCCAAGACUGCUUUUCUUGCUGCUUUUGAUAAAACUCAUAAGCGAACUCUGAGUGACAGCUGCUUUCUUUGCCUCGUCCUGCUCCCUGUAGCUACCUCUGUGCCUCCAUCCCACAGUUAGAUGCAACAUCCCUGAUUUCCAGGAUCAGCUUAGUUCAUGCCAUUGACCCUUGAUUUUUUUGGUCUAUUCCCAUGUUCACCAGGAAGAGAAGCAUGAGGUUACAUCUGUAAUCUCCCUGCAGCAGAGUCAACUGCAUAAGAAACCAAAAGACACACCUGCUCCAUGCCAGCCUAAGCCACCACAUAAAAAGUCAGACCAUCUGCUGGAAGAACCACAUGGAGAGGCCCUGAGUCAACAUGGAGAGGAAGAAGGACUUGACUGAAUCCAGCCUUCCAGCUGUCCCUACCAAGGUGCCAGGCAUGAGAAUGAAGCUGUCUUGAACUCUGAAGACCAGCUUAGCCACCAGAUGCCAAACACUGAGCAGGCUUUGUUCUCCACCCACAAACCAGAGGCUGUCUCAGCAGGAAGGAGUUGGAGUUGGAGAAAAAGGAGAAUUAAGAAUCUAUCUGGCGAUGUGGAUUAAAUAAACAACAAAUUGGCAGAUUGUUUUUAAAAGAGAAGUAUGGACUUUGGUGUCAGGAAGUUGCAGUUAUGGUCCCUGGUGCUGUUUUGGAGCUGGGGACACAGUGGAAACAAGGAAGAGACAGACCUUCAUCAGCUAAAGCCUCCAAUACCAUUACUGAUGAAUAGAGAGGCUCUGAAGGAAAAGGACUCCGGGUCUCUGAAAGGAGAGUGUGAGGCAAACAAAUCAUCCUAGACAUGGGGAUGAGGACACCCCUUUCUCCUUGAGAGAGUGAUGCUUGAGGCAGGACAGGUCUGCACCCUGGGCCACCUCCAAAUGAACCACCAUGAGGUUGGGAGAAGUUAUGAUGAAGCUACUCUGGACUGUAGCCCAUCUCAGUUACUCAAGUUUUCUGGUCAGAAAUCUUCCUCACAUUCCUUAGAGGAAAAGAAGGAAGAAUUGUUCUAUAGUUCGCCUUCUGAUCUUUUUUAAGCAAAUGGGAAAUCGCCCCCUUCUGGCAGUUGCUCCCCAGACUUCUGUUUUGGAGUUAGGUUCUCACCAUCCUAUGUUAGGGCUCUAAGGGAAGGUAAGAGAAGAGAGAACUGAGACUUUUGCCUUCACUCUGAAGUGGUCCAAAUCCUCAGUUGUGAAUGGCCUCAAGGGGAGCCAAGAUUCCACUCCCUGCCUGAAGGGUCACUGUCCUUCACUGUACCGGUGCCAUGAAGGAAGCUCUAACAGGAUACUCCUUCUUCCCUGGAAAGGCAGGAGAGCUGGGCAUCUAUGAGUGGGGACCCCAGGGGGACCUGCAAUCACCAGACUCACCUUCCAGAGCAGCACGGCCAGCAGCAGGAAGAUGAGGAUUCCCACCAACAAACUGAUGGCGAUGAUCCACCCCACGACGUAGCCAC